GACGGAGGGGGCAAGCGUUGUCCGGACUCACUGGGCGUAAAGCGUGCGUAGGUGGUGCGAUGCGUCGGCGCUGAAAGCGCCCGGCUUAACUGGGCGACGGGCGACGAUACGAUCGCACUGGAGGCAGGGAGACGUUGGUGGAAUUCCGGGUGUAGUGGUGAAAUGCGUAGAGAUCCGGAGGAAUGCCGGUGGCGUAAGCGGCCAACGAGUCCUGACCUGACACUGAGGCACGAAAGCGUGGGGAGCAAACCGG
rnacentral:rRNA from 1 species